ensembl:lncRNA
AUUGUCUCAAAAUUAAGUACAUAGAUUUACAUUCCUACUGUCACCAGCCAGCCACAUCUCAUAGAGGCCACUAGACUGGACAGGUGAGGUACAGACCAACUUUACUGUCACACUUAAGCGUGAUCACAAUUGGAGGCCAAGGUUCGAAUGUGAGGUAGCUGCACCCAUGGAAACCUUCCCUAGGAGAGAAGACUCAGUGCAGAAGAGAGCACGGGAUGGCUUGAACCUCACUCUGACUGACCAGGGCUCCACUUGUUGGAGUGGCUCCAUCCUCCCCCCAACCCCGUACUUGGGAUGGAACUCAGGGUGUCAUUCAUUCUAGUUUUAGGGAAUCUGACACUUCUGAAAACAGAUGGGUCCAUCACAAUCAGGCAUGACUGGAGCAAGGUCCCUACCAUUCGCUCCUGAACUAUUUGCUACUGACAGAUUCAGGAACAGAGGGAACACAGUGCCUCCGGCUCACACAGAUGCUCCUGCUUAAACUAAAUGAAUCACAAAAUACCCGUAAGUUGUGGAUCUGAGGAGACUGGAAGAAGACAAGAGGAGGAACACCACGGAGAGCGAGCCUUACGAUGUUCCAGCACGUAGACGCCAAAGUGAAGCCAGGAAACCAAGCACAGGGACCAGGAAAGCACAAAGUGCAUUGUGAAAAGGACAAAGGCUUCAUCGUGGGAAACUAGGCUGGGAGAGGCCGUGUAAAAUAAAGACAGACACACCCA